rnacentral:rRNA from 1 species
AACGCUGGCGGCGUGCCUAAUACAUGCAAGUCGAACGGUCUUUCUAUGGAAGCUUGCUUCCACUGAGAAGAUAGUGGCGAACGGGUGAGUAACACGUGGGUAACCUGCCCAUAAGAGGGGGGAUAACAUCCGGAAACGGGUGCUAAUACCGCAUAGUUUUCUUGAUCGCAUGAUUGAGAAAGGAAAGACGGCCUUUGUGCUGUCGCUUAUGGAUGGACCCGCGGCGUAUUAGUUAGUUGGUGAGGUAACGGCUCACCAAGACGAUGAUACGUAGCCGACCUGAGAGGGUGAUCGGCCACAUUGGGACUGAGACACGGCCCAAACUCCUACGGGAGGCAGCAGUAGGGAAUCUUCCGCAAUGGACGAAAGUCUGACGGAGCAACGCCGCGUGAGUGAAGAAAGGUUUUCGGAUCGUAAAACUCUGUUGUCAGAGAAGAACAAGUUGGAGAGUAACUGCUCCAGCCUUGACGGUAUCUGACCAGAAAGCCACGGCUAACUACGUGCCAGCCGCUGC